rnacentral:rRNA from 1 species
GAUGAACGCUGGCGGCGUGCCUAAUACAUGCAAGUCGAGCGAAUGGAUUAAGAGCUUGCUCUUAUGAAGUUAGCGGCGGACGGGUGAGUAACACGUGGGUAGCCUGCCCAUAAGACUGGGAUAACUCCGGGAAACCGGGGCUAAUACCGGAUAGUAUUUUGAACUGCAUGGUUCAAAAUUGAAAGGCGGCUUCGGCUGUCACUUAUGGAUGGACCCGCGUCGCAUUAGCUAGUUGGUGAGGUAACGGCUCACCAAGGCAACGAUGCGUAGCCGACCUGAGAGGGUGAUCGGCCACACUGGGACUGAGACACGGCCCAGACUCCUACGGGAGGCAGCAGUAGGGAAUCUUCCGCAAUGGACGAAAGUCUGACGGAGCAACGCCGCGUGAGUGAUGAAGGCUUUCGGGUCGUAAAACUCUGUUGUUAGGGAAGAACAAGUGCUAGUUGAAUAAGCUGGCACCUUGACGGUACCUAACCAGAAAGCCACGGCUAACUACGUGCCAGCAGCCGCCGUAA